rnacentral:rRNA from 1 species
UACGUAGGGGGCUAGCGUUGUCCGGAAUCAUUUGGCGUACAGAGCGUGUAGGCGGUCCGGUAAGUCCGCUGUGAAAGUCGGGGGCUCAACCCUCGAAUGCCGGUGGAUACUGUCGGGCUAGAGUACGGAAGAGGCGAGUGGAAUUCCUGGUGUAGCGGUGAAAUGCGCAGAUAUCAGGAGGAACACCUAUUGCGAAGGCAGCUCGCUGGGACGUAACUGACGCUGAGACGCGAAAGCGUGGGGAGCGAACAGG